AUGGAAUAUGUUGCGUACCUAGUGGAUGCUCGUUUCUUGGUUGGAUACCAAGCUGUGGAUGCCGUUGGAGCAACAGAAGAGAGGAGGGAAGAACUCAUAAGGGCUAGGAAUGAAAGGAGAAGGAUUGCAGCUCAACUGGCAACUAGUAGAGCUGCUUUGGCAAGGCCUGACUCUCUGCAGCAAAACAUGAGCAGGCACCAAGAAAGUGCAUUGAUUGGAUUAGGUGGACAGAUCUUGGUGCUGCUCAAGCUUCUGUUAGGUAGUGUGAUGUUGUUGUGUGCCCUCAGUGUUCUACUGUUGAUGAAGAAGUGA
rnacentral:rRNA from 1 species